AACUGCGAAUGGCUCAUUAAAUCAGUUAUCGUUUAUUUGAUAGUACCCUACUACAUGGAUACCUGUGGUAAUUCUAGAGCUAAUACAUGCGCAAAACCCCGACUUCGGAAGGGGUGUAUUUAUUAGAUAAAAAACCAAUGCCCUUCGGGGCUCCUUGGUGAUUCAUAAUAACUUCACGAAUCGCAUGGCCUUGCGCCGGCGAUGGUUCAUUCAAAUUUCUGCCCUAUCAACUUUCGAUGGUAGGAUAGUGGCCUACCAUGGUGGCAACGGGUAACGGGGAAUUAGGGUUCGAUUCCGGAGAGGGAGCCUGAGAAACGGCUACCACAUCCAAGGAAGGCAGCAGGCGCGCAAAUUACCCAAUCCCGAUACGGGGAGGUAGUGACAAUAAAUACUGAUACAGGGCUCUUUUGGGUCUUGUAAUUGGAAUGAGAACAAUUUAAAUCCCUUAACGAGGAACAAUUGGAGGGCAAGUCUGGUGCCAGCAGCCGCGGUAAUUCCAGCUCCAAUAGCGUAUAUUAAAGUUGUUGCAGUUAAAAAGCUCGUAGUUGAACCUUGGGCCCGUCCUGCCGGUCCGCCUCACCGCGAGUACUGGUCCGGAUGGGCCUUUCUUUCUGGGGAAUCCCAUGGCCUUCACUGGCUGUGGCGGGGAACCAGGACUUUUACUGUGAAAAAAUUAGAGUGUUCAAAGCAGGCCUUUGCUCGGAUACAUUAGCAUGGAAUAAUAGAAUAGGACGUGCGGUUCUAUUUUGUUGGUUUCUAGGACCGCCGUAAUGAUUAAUAGGGAUAGUCGGGGGCGUCAGUAUUCAGCUGUCAGAGGUGAAAUUCUUGGAUUUGCUGAAGACUAACUACUGCGAAAGCAUUCGCCAAGGAUGUUUUCAUUAAUCAGGGAACGAAAGUUAGGGGAUCGAAGACGAUCAGAUACCGUCGUAGUCUUAACCAUAAACUAUGCCGACUAGGGAUCGGGCGGGGUUUCUAUGAUGACCCGCUCGGCACCUUACGAGAAAUCAAAGUUU
rnacentral:rRNA from 1 species